rnacentral:rRNA from 1 species
GAUCCUGGCUCAGAAUCAACGCUGGCGGCGUGCCUCAGACAUGCAAGUCGAACGAUUAAACUUUCCUUCGGGAAAGAUAUAAAGUGGCGCACGGGUGAGUAACACGUAGGUAAUGUACCUUUGGGUGGGGAAUAACUUAGGGAAACUUAAGCUAAUACCGCAUAAUGCAGCGGCUCCUUCGGGAGACAGUUGUUAAAGAUUUAUCGCCUAAAGAGCAGCCUGCGGCAGAUUAGCUAGUUGGUAAGGUAACGGCUUACCAAGGCUACGAUCUGUAUCCGACCUGAGAGGGUGGUCGGACACACUGAUACUGAAUAACGGGUCAGACUCCUACGGGAGGCAGCAGUCGGGAAUUUUGGGCAAUGGGCGAAAGCCUGACCCAGCAACGCCGCGUGAAGGAUGAAGUCUUUCGGGAUGUAAACUUCGUAAGAAUAGGAAGAAUAAAUGACGGUACUAUUUGUAAGGUCCGGCUAACUACGUGCCAGCAGCCGCGGUAAUACGUAGGGACCAAGCGUUGUUCGGAUUUACUGGGCGUAAAGGGCGCGUAGGCGGCGUGUCAAGUCAAUUGUGAAAUCUCCGAGCUUAACUCGGAACGGUCAAUUGAUACUGAUGUGCUAGAGUGCAGAAGGGGCAAUCGGAAUUCUUGGUGUAGCGGUGAAAUGCGUAGAUAUCAAGAGGAACACCUGAGGUGAA